UGGUUGAGUAGAGUGGUGAUUGUACAUGGU
rnacentral:piRNA from 1 species